rnacentral:ncRNA from 1 species
UUUCAAAGGCAAACCCGCCGAAAGACGGGGACGCAAAGCCACGGGUCUAAGGUCUUUUGACUAUGACAGCCGGUUGCCGC